AGGACGAACGCUGGCGGCGUGCUUAACACAUGCAAGUGGAGCGACGAACCAGGGCUUGCCCUGGGGCAGAGCCGCGAACGGGUGAGUAACACGUGGGUUACCUGCCUUGAUGACCGGGACAACCCGAGGAAACUCGGGCUAAUACCGGAUGUGCCCGCAAGGGGAAAGGAAGCUUCGGCCUCCGCAUCAAGAUGGGCCCGCGGCCCAUUAGCUUGUUGGUGAGGUAACGGCUCACCAAGGCUUCGAUGGGUAGCUGGUCUGAGAGGACGAUCAGCCACACUGGGACUGAGACACGGCCCAGACUCCUACGGGAGGCAGCAGUGGGGAAUCUUGCGCAAUGCGCGAAAGCGUGACGCAGCAACGCCGCGUGGGGGAAGAAGGCUUUCGGGUUGUAAACCCCUUUCAGUUGGGACGAAGCGAAAGUGACGGUACCUGCAGAAGAAGCGCCGGCUAACUACGUGCCAGCAGCCGC
rnacentral:rRNA from 1 species